UCAUGCAUCUUUGAAAUGGGUACAGAGCUGUCUGGUCUGAAAUAAUAGAACGCCAUUAAAAUACCAUUACUGUAGUUCCAAAACAGUAGUUUUUAACGUGGUCGUUCUAAAUUGGAUUUCUUGCAAACAUCGUCAGACUUGUAAAUAAGGUGGAGUUCUGUUCCGAGUAAUUAUCGGUUCAGGUCGGAAUGUUUUCCCGAUUAAACAGAAAGGGAAAGCCUGACCUCUGUUCCUUACACACACUACAUAAAUCUGCAGCGCCGAGAAUCGCUUCCCCCAGCAUUUAAAGGGAAACUUGUCACGUUUGCGAUUCCUGCCGCCCCCGCCUCCGGACUCCGCUCCGGCUUUUCCAGGUCGCCGCUGCUGCUAACUGAAAAAUUCAAUUAAGGAUUCCUCUUCCCAGUUUGGAGCGGUAUCCAUGGCGGGUCUUUCCGGCUGCUCGCCCCGUGUUAGAAAUAGGAAAAUGCAAUAAUAAAACAAGAAAGAAAGGGAAAAAAAAUGAGGCAACUUUGAUCACGCAUGCUCCCUUAACGUCCAUCCUAAACACACAUUUUCCUUUAGUUGGAAAGUCACCGAAAGCCGCUGAAGUACAGGGCCCGACAGGCCAGCUUUCACCAGAGUGUCCUCCUGCCGUUCUCAUGAGAGCGAGAGUCUAGCGCGCUGGCGAAGCUGCGGUGCGAAUGAGACACUGCAAGGGCGCUGAGGCUCAGUACUCCGGAAGGCAGGAAAAAGAAUCCAUCUGGCCCAUGAAUAAUUUAGAUGGCUCGAGCCGGUUCCUGUUGCUGUUCUGUUUGCGCUCCGCUCUCCCCUCUGACAUCCCUCCCGAGGCGUCUCGGCGCUCUGAGAUGCCACAUCAGGUUCACAGAGUUAAGGCCUGGAACUGCCUCUGAACUGGAAGAAGUGCUGCUACUGCAAGGUCUCCAGUCACAUGCAAAAUUCCCCAGCUGUGAAAGAACCAAGCUGGUUGGAAAAGAGACUCUGUAGGUAUUCUAAAGGAACAUGUUUUUAAGUGCUUUCAUCGAAGCUAAAGGAAAAAAAAAAAGAAAUUGUGUACAUACUGGUUUGAGUCCAGGGUUUGUAGAAAUAUGCUGUGUAGACAUAGAGAUAGUCAAACAAAAGCCUUAGUGUGGAGCCAGGAAGCAAACCUUUCAGGUGUUUAUAGUGGGAGGUGCAGGAUGGAGACAGUACCUGCAUCAGUCCCAGGGUUCCUCUGUGUCCUUUACAAUGUUCUUCCAGCUCUACUGUCAGAGAUACCCUGCAGCACCACUGCCUUAAUCUUGUGGGUGUGACUGCCUUUUUAUUUGUUUAUGAAACGGUCUCUUGUGUUGUAGAAGUCACAACUUUUUAAAAAGACUAUUGUUCCUGUUCUUCAGUUUUAGCAGUAAAGGACUGAGUGGAGCAGUGUCUAGUGGGUAGCUGCUCUGUGUCUUUGUCCUCUGUGA